rnacentral:lncRNA from 1 species
UUCAACCCGAUCGAGCUACUGCUACUGCUCGAUCAACACAAACGCCCGCAUUGGUACUGUGUUGGUGUGUGGUACAAAUUAUUCAUAUCAAUACUUGUAAUGGCUGCCUGACCCGCGCGCGCGGCUGCACUUGUGCCGCCGACGCUGAGCCACCAGCGUACAGAUCAGCCACGGCCAGGGUACCCCGGAUAGCCGCCGCCGGUACCGUUGCCGCCAGGAUAGCCGCCGCCACCCGGCAGGCCACCGCCAGGAUAGCCGCCGCCGCCGCCGCCGCCUGCCACUGGUGCCGCGCCGAACGCCUGCUGGACCCAGUCGACGGUGGCCUUCUCGAGCAUGAAGGCCCUGGCGAGGAUCUCGUCGAGGAUGGGCGGCUUGGCGCCGAACACGGCGUUGGCGAUGGUGAUGGUGCCGGGGUUCUGGCUGCUGAGCGCGGCGAUGGCCACGGCGGGGGUCUUGCCGUUGUUGAGCUGGAAGUGGAUGAGCCCCUGCGGGAAGACGAACACGUCGCCCAUGACCAGCUGCUUGGUGAAGAGC